CAGCGUAGUGUUUCUAUCACACACUGAUGAACACAUCCCUUGGAACUGCUACUGUAUGAAAGCUGUAGCCUAGAGGUUGAACACAUGGUAUGGAAUAUGGCUGCUGCAUUGCUCCUGGGUGCCAUUGGACAGGUCGUGAGAAGCAGACAAGUGAGAGGUGAGCCUGUAUUUCAACCCUCGCAGAGGAAGCAGUCCUGAAGCUGUUGUCUCCUUGCUUCAGAAAGCCUCAAGGUGCCAUAAUUUCUGUGAACCUGUUCUACUGUGCACUGAGAAUGCGUUCAGGGGUAAUACAGCAGACUUUGCAAUAAUCAUCAAAAAUCUACUGAUUUCUGGAAAAUUGAAAACUUGAGGGAAGACAGGGUAAAUCCUCAGAGGAAGAACUGGCAGGAAACUAUCCAC
rnacentral:lncRNA from 1 species